rnacentral:rRNA from 1 species
AGGACGAACGCUGGCGGCGUGCUUAACACAUGCAAGUCGAACGGUGACCAGGACUUCGGUCCUGCGAUCAGUGGCGAACGGGUGCGUAACACGUGGGCAACCUGCCCCUCACUCUGGGAUAACCCCGGGAAACCGGAGCUAAUACCGGAUACUCUCACCGACCCUCCUGGUUCGGUGAGGAAAGGUCCGCCGGUGAGGGAUGGGCCCGCGGCCUAUCAGCUUGUUGGUGAGGUAACGGCUCACCAAGGCGACGACGGGUAGCUGGUCUGAGAGGACGACCAGCCACACUGGAACUGAGAUACGGUCCAGACUCCUACGGGAGGCAGCAGUGGGGAAUCUUGCGCAAUGGGCGAAAGCCUGACGCAGCGACGCCGCGUGGGGGAUGAAUGCCUUCGGGUUGUAAACCCCUUUCGGCAGGGACGAAGCGAACGUGACGGUACCUGCAGAAGAAGCUCCGGCUAACUACGUGCCAGCAGCCGC